ACCUGGGUGGCUCAGUUGGUUGAGCAUCUGACUUUGGCUCAGGUCAUGAUCUCAGAGUUUGUGAGUUCGAGCCCCACCUGGGGCU
rnacentral:tRNA from 1 species